UGGGGAAUCUUGCGCAAUGCGCGAAAGCGUGACGCAGCAACGCCGCGUGGGGGAAGAAGGCCUUCGGGUUGUAAACCCCUUUCAGGAGGGACGAAGGUUCGGCGGUGAAUAGCCGUCCGGACUGACGGUACCUCCACAAGAAGCCCCGGCUAACUACGUGCCAGCAGCCGCGGUAAUACGUAGGGGGCUAGCGUUGUCCGGAAUCAUUGGGCGUAAAGCGCGCGUAGGCGGCCCGGUAAGUCCGCUCUGAAAGUCCAGGGCUCAACCCUGGAAAGCGGGUGGAUACUGCCGGGCUAGAAUCCGGAAGAGGCGAGUGGAAUUCCUGGUGUAGCGGUGGAAUGCGCAGAUAUCAGGAGGAACACCAAUAGCGAAGGCAGCUCGCUGGGACGGUAUUGACGCUAAGGCGCGAAAGCGUGGGGAGCGAACAGG
rnacentral:rRNA from 1 species